rnacentral:rRNA from 1 species
GACGAACGCUGGCGGCGUGCCUAAUACAUGCAAGUCGAGCGAAGCGGCGGACGGGUGAGUAACACGUAAGGAAACUACCGAUAAGCGGGGGACAACAUCCGGAAACGGGUGCUAAUACCGCAUACUUAUCGAUGGCCUUGAGGUGCAUUAGCUGGUUGGUGGGGUAACGGCCUACCAAGGCAAUGAUGCAUAGCCGACCUGGGAGGGUGAUCGGGCAAAAUGGGACUGAGAAACGGCCCAAGCUCCUACGGGGGGCAGCAGUAGGGGAUCUGCCGACAUGGGCGCAAGCUGACGGAGCAACGCCGCGUGAGUUAAGAAGGUUUUCGGAUCGUAAAGCUCUGUUAAUCGGGACGCGGUACCGGAAUAGAAAGCACCGGCUAACUACGUGCCAGCAGCCGCGGUAAUUC